CCGGCAUCCGUAACCAAGCUGGAGGUGCUUAAGAUUCUGGGAGCUUGGGGACAGACUUCGGCAACAAAAGACAGAUUAGCAAGAGGAAAACAAGCCUGCUCACUGCCGAGGGCGGCCUGGGUGAAGAGCGACUCAACGCAAUGGCUUCUGCCACAACAUUGCAGCUGCAUGGACCAGGUGCAAACCCAACUGUCUGUCCCCAACUGUAAGCCUUGGGGAUCACUGGCCUGUGUGUACCUGGAUUAAAUCUCUGAGGUUUACUGACCGUAAGUCCCUAUGAGUCCUUGGGGGAGGACACCAUCCUGAUGCUGGCAAACAAGAUUGGAGGCUGUGAGCUGCAGGAAUGCUGUUGUCAGGAGGACAGCGAGGACCAGAGAGGAUCAGAUACCUUGAAGAGCUGCAGUGGAGGAUGGAUGGGCAGAACAUGAGGCCUGCUGGGAACUGAAGGUAAGAGUUCCCUGGUUGGAAAAAGCAGGGGGUGUGUCUAAGGCAGAAAGCACAGGUGAGACAUAAGCCACAUUUUAUAGUUGCCUGGCCCUCUCUAGAGAAUCAAGGACACUGGAGAACCAGGAGCCAAUGGAGAGGACCUGCAGAGGCAUCCUUGGAAGGCUACUGGAAGAUUUAAAUGUCAUGCUGAAGUCCGUAGUUUUUGAGAGAAACUUUGUGAUUGGAAGUCUUGCCUCCAAUUCUUUUCUUUUCUCUCUCCACUGAGGAUACAGGACAAGUUACUUAAACCUCUCUGGGUCUCAGUUUCCUCAUCUGUGAAAUGAGAUUGUGGAAUUACCCCACCAUAUAGGGUUGAGGGUGAGGAUUGAAUUUAAACCACAUGCUUCCCACUGAGCUUACCCUAGCUGGUGACAGGACAGACAGGACAGCCUCUGUUGGAUUGGGUUCCUAUGGAGUCUGUGUGUGUGUGUGUGUGUGUGUGUGUGUGUGUGUGUGUGUGUGUGACUUGGAGUCUCUCACCUCAGAAGAACCUGGAGUGUUGAGUGGGCAGGAUCAUAGAUCUCAUUAAAGAAGCCAAGUCUGUGAGAGGUGAAGCACCUUCUCCAAGCUUGUAUGGUUGAGUUGGAGUGGAGAGAUUGAGACAUGUCCAUGUCGCUGUUUGACUCUGGAGGCUAGGCUGGUGUCUGAGUCUGGUGGGGCUGCUCCAGGCCUCCUUCCCCUCUAGGAGGCUCCUGUAUCUUGGUCUGAGUGAACAUGACCCCAGAUGUUGAGGGAACAGCCAGCUGGAAGCUGACAGGUGCCUCCUUCCCUGCCCUGUCCUCAUUCUGUCCUCUCAGCCUAGCACAGGACAGCCCUGCUCACUCCCCAUGGGAAGUUCCUGGAUGGAACGGAGGCCCAGGGCCCAGGCUCUCCUCAUGAUAAUGUAAGCACGGCAUUUCCGUUGAAAUCCCUGCCUGGAUGAGCCGCUGGCUAGAGGGUUUAACUCGUGUACACAGGCAGAGCUCAUGGGCUUGUCCCUAAUAUUUAUUCUGGUGACUGUAACAUGCAGAUAAGGUGAGUGCCUGGCGCCAGCACGCAGAAUAAAUUUACAUUCUGGAAGCCACAAAGAGCUGAGUAUACACAGCAUUAUGGGCCUGGCUGGGGGCCUAGGGAGGGGGAAGCCAGCUCCCUCCUCAGCAGGUUCUGGCUGUGAUUCUCAAAGCUGAGGCUAGCCUUGCACUUGAAGCACAGUGUAAGUUGACAGCGUCUAGGCCUGAGGUCUGCACACAGACCUGAAAGUUUGACUUUUGUGAUGGGAAACCUCAACCACCAUCUUGCUCGGACACCCAGCCCAUCCACACUGUUCCACAGAGGACAUCUGAGGCUUCGGAGCUUGCCCUUGUGUGGCCUUCCUGCCCCUCAGCUGGAUCAGAGCUCCUUCAGCUACAACCCCUAAGCCCACAAGAGGAGAGGUGCUCUCCCUUUGCUUGCUCAGGAGUCUCAGCACAGGGAUGACAAUAUAUGUGUAUCCUGAGUGCUGCCUGCUGCGGUGGGUCUGCCUUGUGAGGCUGGAUGUGGGGGACAGGGUAACAUGGUCCUGGUGGAAGGGAAUGAGCCCCAUCCCCCCUCUGCAUUCAUUUUCCUCCUUCUAGAAGCCUUGGAUUGGAGGUGCCUUCUGGGAAGACUAGGACCAAGGCCUGUGUCAGUCAGAGUCUUGGUGUUUCCAGUCCCUAGCUGAGCAACCUUGGAAAAAAAAUACUUGACAUCUCUGUGCUCAGCUUCUUCCACUAUAACCUGGGGUUGGUGAGAAUUCCCUUCUCAUGCUAAGGUGACUAAGCACCUGGCACACAGUAGGCACUCAAUAAGCGUUUCAAUCUUUUGGUGCCACAUAUUCAUGCUCGCUAUAGAGCAUGCUCAGGGAAAGAGGCACUAAACAAUGAGGGAGAUGCAACCAUGAGCAUCGGUCUUGCUGCUGGCUCCCUGGUGUCAGAAGAUGGUGGGGGUGGCGGCUUUGCAAGCGCACAACAGUAUGGGCCUCUACAACUGGACUGCUCCAUGCUGCUGCUAAUGGCUCACCACUCUUCCAGGAGGCCAGCUGGCAAGCCGACGGUGUUGGUCCUCUUCCAUGUGGAAAGGCCUAGCGGUUGUUUACCCAGGAAUAGAUGGGUGUUCCUGGUAGGCAGUUAUCUUUCCCGCCUGCAGGGCCUCAGACUGCUCCACUAUGCAGAACACCAGGCCAGGGACUGAGUUACCUCGAGCAGGCGCAGCAGCAGGCUGGGCAGUAAAGAGCAAGAUCUGCAUAGUAUUUGCACCUCCCGGAAACUGCCAGCCUUACAGAGGGGUGCCCUGUCCUUCUGAGAGCCCAGCUCAAGGACCACAUUGGAGCAAGAGUUCUGAGGAUGGUCCUCCAGCCUGCAAGACACACUCCAAAUAUAGAAUGCUGGUACUUCAGCAGGAGAUCUGUCCUCAGCAGGAAUACAGGGGACUUGAGUCUGGGGAGAUUGCUUCCCAGUUGGUAGAGUGCUUGUUGUGCAAGCUUGAGGACUUGAGUUCCACCCAUUGAACCCACAUUAGAAAAACAAAACAAAUACACAAAAAAGGUGUGGCGGCAUGCACUUGCCACCCCAGAACUGGUGAGGUAGAAGCAUGCAGAACCCCAGAGCUGACAACAAGUCUAGCCACUCCGCCAGCUCACAAAACAAAGGGCAGGACCUCUCUGGGAGGGCAUGGUGGCCAGGGCUCAGGCUCUCUGGGGAAUAGGAACUGGGCCUCCAGAUGGGUUACCAAGGAUAUACUGUCAGAGGCUGGGGAGGACUUGAAUCUCAGGGAAGUAGUAGGUCUGCCUCUGUUUGAGGACUCUACCUACCUCUACCUUCUGGGAGGCUGUGUGGCCACCGAAUGCUCCAGCGGGACCCCAUCUCUCUCGAGGGUCCAUUAGCAGAAAGGGAGUGGGGGAGCCUGGGUGGAGUGAGACAGACUUGGGGGCCCAGCACCCUUUUGCCUUGACCCCUGACCCUGCAACUUCAGAGUGCUGUGAGCACAAGCCCUCUGAGCAUCUCGGUACAUUCUCAGCCUCACUCUAGGGAGCAGCUUGGUGUCUGAUGGACCAGUUCUGCCUAUUGCCCAUCACCUCUCUGCUCCCUGACCCCUGGGGACCUACCGGGGCAGUUUAUGGGUCCUUCUUUGCCCUUCCCUGCUUGCUGACCUCUCAUUCUCUUCUUUCCCCAAACCCAUCUCCCUGCCUGCCUCUCCUUAGUCUAUUUAGUAACAUAGCAGAGGCCUGUAUAAUUUGGUGUCAGUUAAAGCUCAGUGGGGACCCAGCACCCAUUACCUAACUAGCUGGGUGGUGCUGGAUGGUAAACAACCUACCUCUCCCUGCCUCAGCUUCCCUCUCUACUAUACAGUUACAGAAUAAAGUCCCCAGGCUUUCAGUCUGCAGACCGUGGAUAGGAAAACGCUUGAUAAAGGAAAUCACACAGCAUUGACUGAAAUUCUGUCUGCUCAGACCUGUGCCUGAGGUGCAGCUUGAGGACUAUAGGAGGGCCAGGCUAGGUCUGAGACCUGCAGGGAAAGAGGCCUGGGUGUAGGGUGGGGGUUGAUGCUAGGAUGUCCCAGUACAGAAGGGUUGUGUGGAUGCUGGGUGGAUGGCAGGCAGGGUGUGUGGAUGCUGGGUGGAUGGCAGGCAGGGUGGGCUGAGCAAGGGUGGGGUAUGUGGUGGAAUGUUCCCAAUUCCUGCUCCCUCCUCCUCCUUCCAGGAAGCCUCACUCCCCUGCACAGCUGCUGCGACACAUUUUCGUAUCAGGACAUCCAGAUCUAUCCAAACAAGAGGUGGCGGCAAUCUGAGACGUCUACACAAUCUGGGAAUUGAGGGUACUUGUGGGCACACCUUUGCCUAUGUUUCCCCAAAACCCUGGGUUGGAGAGGGAGAGGACAUCCUGGUUGUUGAGGCUAGGCUGUGGUACCGGAAAUGAAUGGAUUCCAAAGAAUGUACCAAAUUCACAGAAGGCAACAUCCCUGGUCCCAGCUGUCCAUUCUGGGAGUCCUCAAGUAAUGGUUCUCAGAUGCCCCUGCCCUGAUGUUGAUGCUUUGCUGACAAUGACAGAUGUGCAGGUGGUUGCAGUGAGCUUGCAGGGCCAGGAGACAGCAACAGGGCUGUCCACCUCCAUGCAGUUGGCAUGGACCCACAAGGAAGUACAAUGAUUAACACUAGGACUGUGGGUGUGUUAACAUUGUGGAGGUCAGAUGCAGCCCAAUAGAAAAGAAGGGCCUGGACUAGCUUGGGGCUCUGUGGGUGGGGCCCUAGGUUUCAAGCCACCAAGAUGACCAGGAAAGCCUCAGCAGACUCCCACACACACAGCUGAUGAAUUCCCUAGGGAUUUGGGCCUAGGAAUGGCUUCAGAUCAUGGCUGUACCCUCCUCAGUGGUUCAUGGUAGAGAGGGAGUCUUUGGGACCCAAGUGCAAAGCUUAGCACACGCUCUCAGCAUUGUGGCACUGGAUAUACCAUUUAAACACCCUCUUUGCUGACACAUACGCCUAUUCAGGGUGCCCCCUAGACAUCUGCAGGUCCUCCAGGGUUUGUGUCACUGAAGCCUGCUGUGGACGCGGCUUCUUGGCACUUCUUCAGAAACCAGGUGUUAAGAGCUCUGUGACAGCCCAAAAUCCUGCUGGACGGCCAGGGCCUUACAGUCUUUCUUCUCAUUGUCAGCCCACAGUGAACAUAUCUGACCACAGGCUUCUUGUGCUUUUGUAUGUGCAGGGGUGUGCCACCUAUACAUGUAUUUGUGUCAAUGUGUGCACACAUGUGGUUAUCUAUGUAGAAGCCAGAGGCAGGCACUGGUGAGCUCCAUCACUCUCCACCCUAUUUUGAGGCAGCGUCUCUCCGUGAACUGUACCUCACCGAAUCAGCUACACUGGCUGGCCUGUGAGCCCUGGGGAUUUACCUGUCUGCCUCCCCAGCACUGGGAUUACAGAGGCCUGUUGCCACGACAGCUGGCUUUUUACACAGCCUCUAGGGAUUGAAUCCAGGUCCUGUCCUAACUGAUCCCUCUCCUGAGCCCCCUGGAGCACUGGUCUUUCUACAGAUGAGGGUCUCUGCUUAUAAUUGCCUUCCACAUGCUGUGCAUGAGAAUGGCUGGUUCACUCCCCCUUGCCAGCACCAAUUACUCUCUUCCUGUUUAGUCUCUCUGCUAAUUACACAUCAUCACUGGAGGCACAGACAGACUCUGGCCUGGAGCACUGGGUAAUAAUGAGACUGUAGCAAGUGGCUUCUAGCAAUGAUUUGAGGGUGGUGGCAGCAGAGGCCAGGAAAGCAGCCGAGGCCUGAGUUUCCAGCCGCGCUCACUGCCUGUGUGACCUGGGCAUGUUUUGUUUCCCUCUCUGAGUCUUUGUCUAUCAGGCUGUCUCAGGCACCUCUGGGUUGGCUUCCCCGCCUCCGCCCUAUCUCUUGCCUUGAACAGCAAGCGGAUCACACUUGCUACAGCGCUGGUAUUUGCUGCAGCCUGAGCUGACAAAGUGACCUUUUGAGAGGGAGGAUUCCUCCAUCUCAUUAUGCGGCCUCCAACCUUUGCUCAGGCUCCAGCCAUCCUGUUUAUUCUUCUCAUGAAUUUCUGCUUCUACUUAGAAUAAGAAAAACGGUCGAGAUGGAAAAUGACAAAAAUGAAAAAAGGGUCCGACAACUUAUAAAACCCAAACUUCCCCUGAGCCCUACAGAGAUCUGGCAUGAUGAGGUAGUCAGGGAAACGGGAGGCAGGGCUGGGUCUUCGGGCUCCGUGAUGAACGCUUUAAAAAUGUUUUAUUACAUUUUACUUAUUUAUUUUGUGUGUGGAGAGGGGGUAUAAACACACCCUGGUGUGCCCUGGAGGUCAGGGGACAGCUUCAGGACUCCAUUCUUUCCUUCCACUGCGCGCGCGUGUGAACUAUCCGGUUGAUGAACUCUUAAAGGCACAGGGUGCACCAGAGGAACUCAGCACUCAGCGCCUCUGGUGCCCUGGACACAAGCAGGGGCUCACAUUUCCUCUUAGGGGAUACAGGAGAAAAGCAGGAGAUGGCUACCACUCUGGACACGAGACAUGAAAGGCAUCUGCCUGGAGAGACAACGCCUGUGUGGCAUUGGCUUCACGGAUGGUUCGCUGCCUAGGCUUAUGUCAGCUUGACACACAGACUGGAGUUAUCUGAAAGGAGAGAACCUCAGUUGAGAAAAUGCCUCCAUGAGAUCUGGCUGUAUGGCAUUUUCUUAAUUAGUGAUUGAUGGGGGAGAGCCCAGUCCAUUGUGGAUGGCUCUACCCUUGGGCUGGUGGUCCCGGACUCUAGAAGAAAGCAGCGUGAGCAAGCCAUGAGGAACAAACCAGUGAGCAGCUAGAGUUCUAUUGCUGUGAGGAGACACCAGGACCAUGGCAGCUCUUAUAAAGGAAAACAUUUAAUUGGGGCUGGUCUCCAGUUCCAGCAGUUUAGUCCAUUGCUGUCAUGGCAGGAAGCAUGGCAGCAUGCAGGCAGGCUCAGUGUUGGAUCUGCAGGCAGCAGGAAAAGUGAGUGACAUUGGGCCUGGUUUGAGCAUCUGAAACCUCAAAGCCCAGCCCCCCUCCCCUCAGAGGCACACUUCCUCCAACAAGGCCACCAGUCUCCUAAUAGUGCCACACCCUGUUGGCCAUUUUCACUCAGACCACUGCAUGUUCUGACUUCCUUUGAUAAUGAACAGCAAUAUGAAAGAGUAAGACAAGUAAACCCUUUCCUUCCUAA